CGAACGCUGGCGGCAGGCUUAACACAUGCAAGUCGAACGCAUCCUUCGGGGUGAGUGGCAGACGGGUGAGUAACGCGUGGGAACGUGCCCUUCAGUUCGGAAUAACCCAGGGAAACUUGGGCUAAUACCGGAUACGUGCGAGAGCAGAAAGAUUUAUCGCUGAAGGAUCGGCCCGCGUCUGAUUAGCUAGUUGGUGAGGUAAUGGCUCACCAAGGCGACGAUCAGUAGCUGGUCUGAGAGGAUGAUCAGCCACAUUGGGACUGAGACACGGCCCAAACUCCUACGGGAGGCAGCAGUGGGGAAUAUUGGACAAUGGGCGCAAGCCUGAUCCAGCCAUGCCGCGUGAGUGAUGAAGGCCUUAGGGUUGUAAAGCUCUUUCGUCCGGGACGAUAAUGACGGUACCGGAAGAAGAAGCCCCGGCUAACUUCGUGCCAGUAGCCGCGGUAAUACGAAGGGGGCUAGCGUUGUUCGGAAUCACUGGGCGUAAAGGGCGCGUAGGCGGCUUUGUAAGUCGGGGGUGAAAGCCUGUGGCUCAACCACAGAACUGCCUUCGAUACUGCAUGGCUUGAGACCGGAAGAGGUUAGUGGAACUGCGAGUGUAGAGGUGAAAUUCGUAGAUAUUCGCAAGAACACCAGUGGCGAAGGCGGCUGACUGGUCCGGUUCUGACGCUGAGGCGCGAAAGCGUGGGGAGC
rnacentral:rRNA from 1 species